CUCGAUGUCGGCUCGUCACAUCCUGGGGCUGGAGAAGGUCCCAAGGGUUGGGCUGUUCGCCCAUUAAAGUGGCACGCGAGCUGGGUUCAGAACGUCGCAAGACAGUUCGGUCCCUAUCUGUUGUGGGCGCAGGAAUAUUGAAGAGGCCUGACACUAGUACGAGAGGACCGUGUUGGACGAACCGCUAGUGUACCAGUUGUGUCGCCAGAUGCACCGCUGGGUAGCUACGUUCGGAACGGAUAAGCGCUGAAAGCAUCUAAGCGCGAAGCCAUCUCUAAGAUGAGUAUUCCUAUCUUACUUCGGUAAGAGGAGGGACGUAGAAGACGACUACGUUGAUAGGCUACAGGUGUAAUCCUCGUGAGGGGUUUAGCCGAGUAGUACUAAUGACCCGAAAGCUUCCUUAA
rnacentral:rRNA from 1 species